ACUUUCACAUGCUUGUACAUACUGAAAUAUCUCUGAAAGUGGAAGUCUUUGGCAGUGUAAUGAUUGUAAUAUCGCGGUCUUUGUAUGUAUACAUCCAUGUGACGGAACUUUCUAAGUGUGUGAGUGGUGCACUACAGUAAGUGCAUAUAUAUGCACAAUAAAUGUGCACUAUACAAUCUUCGAUGUUGCAAGACAUUAAACAACCAGCAGUGGAACAUAAUAGCGCGGAUUCUUCACUGGCAUCACCACCCCAAGGAAGUUUCGUCAGAUGGGGAAUCAAAACUGAAAUUAUAAUGUAAAACGUGAAAUAGCCGUCUGAUGAUGAACCUAUCGGUUCGAAACCGGUAACGGCGCUAUUUAGUAAAUAAAUAGUGUUAUUAAAAGUGGCUGGUUGCUGUAAUUUCUAUAUAAGAAUCAACCUGUAUUUUGUAUACAGCCACGGGCUCAAUAUGUCAGUUUUUGACAAAAUAGCAUUAAGCUUACCUCGCCAGGUACUGAGAAACGUUCACGCUUUUAAAAGAUGCAAAAGAAACCUAACAAAGACCAACCUUAACAUCAAAUUUAAUAAGAAAUGUCUGUCAGCACAGAUAACACCAAACUACAUAAAAGUGAAGAUUAACUCUAAAACUAAUACUGCCAAAAUAGUUAAAGCAAAAUGUGAAAUCAUGUGGCUCAAGACAGAGAUCAAGAUGCUGUAUAAAAAGAAAGAACUACUCAACAAGCAGCUGUACAAUCUACAUUUGCAACUUGGUAAUUGCCUCUCCAGCCUUCAGUUCUCCUACAUCUUACAGUACAUACAGAUCAUCACUGACAAAGAACAGCAGAAAAUACUGUAUAGGCAUAAGAAAAAACUAGACAAUUUGGAAAUGAAGAAAGGUAACCUCCCCUCCAAAAAUUUACAUGACAGCCAACAUCAGUUUCAUGGAAGAACUAUUAACUCAACUAAUAUCAGUUUUACAAACAAUGAACUUGCUCUCAUAAACAAAGGACUAAAGCAUAACAUAGAGCCCAGACUUAAUGCCAAUAACUUGAAAAGCCUUAUUGCAUCUACUAAACUUGCAUGUGAUGCUGCUAAAUUAAAUUCCAGGGAAACCAAUGCCAUAGCCUUUAAAGCCAAUAAAAUAAUAACACGACACCUCAAAAACACCAGUUCACACAGAAACAAUGAUCUAAAUGUUCUAAAUUGUAUCAAUUCCAAACUUUCUGAGAAUAAAGCUUUAAUAGUCAAAGCUGAUAAAAGUAAUUGUGCAGUGAUAAUGUAUGAAAAAGAAUAUGUUGACAAAACCAUGCAAUUCUUCAAUAGUAACAACAUAACUGAAUUAGAUUUUGAUCCUACCUCUAAAUUUCAGGCCAAAAUUAAGAAAACACUUAAGAACUGUAACUUCCUCCUAACUAAUUGGGAAACACGUGACUGCAUUGCCAUGAACCCCACUGCACCUCGGCUCCGGUCACAGCCUAAAACCCAUAAGGAAAACUGUCCCAUCAGGCCAAUUGUGAACUCUAGGAACAGCCCUUCAUAUAAGUUAAACAACAAACUGCUUGCUAUGCUCAACACCUACUACACCUUUGAAAACAAAUUCUCCAUUAAGAAUACAUAUGAACUCAUCGACAAAAUCAAAGAUGUAUACAUUCCACCAACAGCCAGAUUUGCAUCACUUGAUAUAGUAAACCUUUAUACCAACAUCCCUGUAGAUGACACCAUAAACAUAAUCAGAAACAAUCUACUCAAACAUAUGAAACUAAGUAUGGCAGAGAUCUGUGAGCUCCUCGAGUUACUCACCUUGGUACUGUCAUACAAUUAUUUCAGUUUUAAUAAUAAAAUAUACAGACAGAAAGACGGGUUGGCAAUGGGUAGCAGUCUAGCUGGGAUGUUAGCAGAUAUUUACAUAAAUCACUUGGAACAGACAUUUUUUGAAGCUAACAGCCACAUCAACAGCAAAAUCAUCUACUACAAAAGAUAUGUUGAUGAUACAAUUAUACUUUUUGAUGGCACCAAUGAGGAAAUAGACACAUUAGCAACAAAAAUGAGCAGCAUGCACAAAAACAUUAAAUUCACCGUUGAACAUGAGACCAACAGCAGCAUCAAUUUCCUAGAUGUAAAAAUCACCAACAAGAAUCAUAAACACCAGUUUGAGAUCUAUAGAAAACCAACAUCCACUGAUGUAUGCAUCAACAGCUCAUCUUGUCAUCCAAACCAGCAUAAGAUGGCAUAUUUUAGGUCCACACUGAACCGCCUACACAAAAUUCCCCUUGAACCAGUUAAAAAAGAGAAAGAAAUCAGUAUCAUUAAAACCAUAGCCUCAAACAAUGGAUAUGACCCUCUCAUAAUAGACAAACUAUCACAAAAAAUCCAUAAACCAUCAGCCAGCAAAACUGUGCACCAGACAACCAUGCUACUUACACAAGACACAGUAGAAAAGAGCAGAAAAUAUGUUGCACUACCUUUCCUAGGGAGCAUAUCCUACAAAAUAAGCAACCUAUUCAAAAAUACAAACAUUAAAAUAAGCUUCCACACAAACAACAAACUCCAGCAGUUAGCAGUUCACAACUUAAAAAAUUACAACCCCCCCUACAAAAAAUCUGGCAUAUAUAAACUCAGCUGUCAAAGCUGCCCCUCUUACUAUAUAGGACAAACUGGAAGAAGCAUUGAGACACGGUUCAAAGAGCAUAUAGAUGCCAUACGUUUGAACAAUAUCUCAAAAUCCACAUUUGCCAUGCACACAACCACCAACAGUCAUGGAAUAAAGAACAUUGAAGACCAUGUACAAGUGUUACACUAUGCGGAGAAAGGCAGCCUUAUGAAUCUGCUUGAGGAAAUUGAAAUAUAUGUACAUAAAAGUAAAUCACCACAAAAUCUCCUCAAUGAACAAACCGAGUUAGCCAAUGCAGCCUUUCUUCAAAAUUUCAUUCACCUGCUUUCCAAUUCAAAGUAAAAAAAAAAAAAAAAAAAAAAAAAAAAAAAAAAAAAAAAAAAAAAAAAAAAAAAAAAAAAAAAAAAAAAAAAAAAAAAAAAAAUAGGUCCCCUAUGCACAUCCAUGCCAACCCAUUUACUGUACUCUCAAUGUAUGCCAUAAUUGUCCAUAGUUGUAACAGUUAUUUAUGUACAUAUUGUCCUUAUCAUUUAAUUCUCUUCCAGUGUAUACCAUAAUACUUACGCAAUGUCACUGCAGUAACAUGUUAUAAUUGUUUGCUAACUGGUGUAUCUUAAGUCUAAUCAGUUCUCUUUCAAUGUAAUGGUUUAUCUUAUGCCAACCUAUUUACUGUACUCUCAAUGUAUGCCAUAAUUGUCCAUAGCUGUAACAGUUACUUAUGUACACAUUGCCCUUAUCAUUUAAUUUUGCUCCAGUGUAUACCAUAAUAUUUACGCAAUGUCACUGUAGUAACACGUUAUAACUACUGCUAACUGGUUUAUCUUAAUUCUAAUCAGUUCUCUUUCAAUGUACUAGUUUAUCUUAAUUAUAAUCAGUUCUUUUUCAAUGUAAAUAGUAAGUCACGUAACAUUAGCAACUUGUAAAAAUCUACUUUCACAUGCUUGUACAUACUGAAAUAUCUCUGAAAGUGGAAGUCUUUGGCAGUGUAAUGAUUGUAAUAUCGCGGUCUUUGUAUGUAUACAUCCAUGUGACGGAACUUUCUAAGUGUGUGAGUGGUGCACUACAGUAAGUGCAUAUAUAUGCACAAUAAAUGUGCACUAUACAAUCUUCGAUGUUGCAAGACAUUAAACAACCAGCAGUGGAACAUAAUAGCGCGGAUUCUUCACUGGCAUCACCACCCCAAGGAAGUUUCGUCAGAUGGGGAAUCAAAACUGAAAUUAUAAUGUAAAACGUGAAAUAGCCGUCUGAUGAUGAACCUAUCGGUUCGAAACCGGUAACGGCGCUAUUUAGUAAAUAAAUAGUGUUAUUAAAAGUGGCUGGUUGCUGUAAUUUCUAUAUAAGAAUCAACCUGUAUUUUGUAUACAGCCACGGGCUCAAUAUGUCAGUUUUUGACAAAAUAGCAUUAAGCUUACCUCGCCAGGUACUGAGAAACGUUCACGCUUUUAAAAGAUGCAAAAGAAACCUAACAAAGACCAACCUUAACAUCAAAUUUAAUAAGAAAUGUCUGUCAGCACAGAUAACACCAAACUACAUAAAAGUGAAGAUUAACUCUAAAACUAAUACUGCCAAAAUAGUUAAAGCAAAAUGUGAAAUCAUGUGGCUCAAGACAGAGAUCAAGAUGCUGUAUAAAAAGAAAGAACUACUCAACAAGCAGCUGUACAAUCUACAUUUGCAACUUGGUAAUUGCCUCUCCAGCCUUCAGUUCUCCUACAUCUUACAGUACAUACAGAUCAUCACUGACAAAGAACAGCAGAAAAUACUGUAUAGGCAUAAGAAAAAACUAGACAAUUUGGAAAUGAAGAAAGGUAACCUCCCCUCCAAAAAUUUACAUGACAGCCAACAUCAGUUUCAUGGAAGAACUAUUAACUCAACUAAUAUCAGUUUUACAAACAAUGAACUUGCUCUCAUAAACAAAGGACUAAAGCAUAACAUAGAGCCCAGACUUAAUGCCAAUAACUUGAAAAGCCUUAUUGCAUCUACUAAACUUGCAUGUGAUGCUGCUAAAUUAAAUUCCAGGGAAACCAAUGCCAUAGCCUUUAAAGCCAAUAAAAUAAUAACACGACACCUCAAAAACACCAGUUCACACAGAAACAAUGAUCUAAAUGUUCUAAAUUGUAUCAAUUCCAAACUUUCUGAGAAUAAAGCUUUAAUAGUCAAAGCUGAUAAAAGUAAUUGUGCAGUGAU